rnacentral:rRNA from 1 species
GAUGAACGCUGGCGGCGUGCCUAAUACAUGCAAGUCGAGCGAACACACGCGGCGCUUUGUCGUCUGAUGUUAACGGCGGACGUGUUAGUAACGCGUGGAUACCCUACCUAUAAGACUCGAAUAACUUCAGGAAACAAUAGCUAAUACCCGAUAAUAUAUUGAACCGCAGGGUUUAAUACUUAAAGACGGUUUAGCUGUCGCUUAUAGAUGGAUCCGCGCCGCAUUAGCUAGUUGGUAAGGCAACGGCUUACCAAGUCGACGAUGCGUAGCCGACCUGAGAGGAUGAUCGGCCACACUGGAACUGAGACACGGUCCAGACUCCUACGGGAGGCAGCAGUAGGGAAUUUUGCGCAAUGGGCGGAAGCCUGAUGGAGCAACGCCGCGUGAAGGAGGAAGGUCUUCGGAUCGUAAAACUCUGUUAUAAGGGAAGAACAAGUGUGUAAGUAACUAUGCACGUCAUGACGGUACCGAAACAGAAAGCCACGGCUAACUACGUG